AUGAAGCGUAUAAAGUACAUGCAGUUUAUUGCAAAUCAAGGCUUCCGUACAAUAACAUAUAUUAAUGCUAUUCUUAGCACGAAUAUUUUCCAGAACCGAGCAGAUUUGAAGGCAAACGGACAUAUUAAACAGAUAAGACUGUCAUCAUGCCAAUAUUUCAUAUUAUCAGAAAGGACAUCACCAAACAGCCGGAUGCUUUAAACAUCACUGUACCGACAACACCCGAGGUCUCUUUGUCCCAGACUACGCAUGAAAGUCAAACGCUAAGCUUCAAUCAAAGCGCCUUGCUGUCAAGUCAUGACAAAGGGACGGCAGAUUCUCCAUUUCCGGUUGCUGUCGUUAUAGUUACAGUAUUAGUUAUAGUUGGGAUUGUCGCUUUUUCGUGGUUUGGAUAUAUAUUUCGAAAAAAGAUAAAGAAUUGGAUAGGUCGCAGGUUUGGCGAGCCCAGAUCCGAUAUUGAGAUGACUACUGUCGAGACAGCUGAUCAAGAGCCUAGAGCCGAUAUUGAACUGACUACCAUGACUGUCGAGACAACUGAUCAAAUUGAAAGAGAUCCAGAUAUAAGUUCCACCGACCCAGCAAAUACCAGCUCUGCAGCACUUCUUGGACCUGGAAACGGUGAUGUCUAACUCGGCCCUGAGUACAGCUAGCUAAGGAAAAAUGAUGUUUCGGUGAAAGGCGAUUCUGUGACAAUCUGGCCCCGAUGUCGAGUCGCGAUACCUUACUACAGGUCACAACAUCGGAAUAUCGGUACCAGACUGUACAAGAUAAGUAAAUGGAUUGUUCUGUUGACUGAAAAUCUGUUUC